AGUACCACCUCAUUACAUCCAGUCCCCACCUCCACCUGCGGCAAAGGGAAGGGAGAACCCCAGUGAUGGGUGGGUGGUGCAUUUGGGCUCCGAUUGCAUUCAUGAAGCAAAGAUCCUGAUUGUAAGGGCCUGGUGCUGCAAUGAGGCACAGACACAGGUAGCUGCUGCCAGUUGGUGAGGGUGCCUGUCUCCAUAACUCACCUGGCAAUCUCUCUGCCAGUCUCCACUCCAUGUUCUUUGGGAUAUUGCAGCCGUCAGCAGCCCUGGCGAUUGGCAGUGGUAGCAUGGUGACUCACCAGGCCUGGCUCUACCUGAGUUAAAUUCUGCUAUCAAGUUGAUGAUCUGCAGGGUGCCCAGUGUCCCAUCUUGCCAGGGAGGUCAACAGAAGUUUAGCCACUGACAUCACGAACAGGAUUGCAACCCGCAUCUGUGAUUAGUGAUGAAAUGAAACCCACAGCUUGAAAUCAUUUAUCCAUCAUAUCCGAUCAAACACAAACAUCCUCUGCACUUGGAAAUAAAUGAGGGUUGGAGCCAGCUCGCCUCUGCAGAAGUUUGUGACACGUGUGAUAGAUUGAUGAGCUGAGAACAAGCUGCCACCCUCCACCCCCAUCAUCAAUGAUUUUCCAUUCCGCCUGGGGAAGGGGACACUGAGGCCAGAGGUGAAGGAUAUACUUUCCAAUAAGUGUUUCAGUGGGAGGUGAGAAAUAUGAGUCCCUGGAGGGGCAGAAGGAAAAAAAGGAAGGCACUAUUAAGCAGGGCAGUUUAGAGAGAGCAGCUGCUUGACAGACUUCUGGCACAACAGUAAGGGCAGCAGCAGCCCUACUCUUGCAGCAUCUAUUGUUGAAUGCUACAGGUACCAGAACAGCACAGACCAUGGUCUCUGACUGGUGAAGGCUUUUUUCAGUUGCAUAUGAAGAUAAGAGGCCUGUAAGAUGAAAGAAGAGAGCUGAUGAUGUCUGCUGGCCAUGAAAUGUGGUAAUGCCAGCAACAACAAACACAGAAGGGCUCAAAUCCAGCCAACGGCUCACAUCCAGCCAACUCUUCACUGCCUUUGCUGUGUCCACAGCUGCCAGCAAGGAAAGUCCUGUGCUCAGCUGAAGGGCAACAGCCCCACCAGUUUUGUUCUCAUCUGUUUCACAGUGGUGGGCUUUUGGGGAUCAAGGCAGAAAACAAAAGCUGACUUGGAGUUCCAGUGUCACUGUUCUGUGAUUUUAAUUGGGAAGUUGGUGUUACUUGCCCUUUCCUUAUUUCUUCCCCUGUAGUGUGGCAGCUCCAGAAGCACAGCAGGGAGAUUCAGGCUCCCAGAAUAAAUUCUGCUUCAGUGUAGAGCAAAGAACAUCAACUGAACCAAGCAGUCACAUCGUGGUCUAAGUGGGUGAGUGGUGGUUCACCUGGGGAGCACAUGCAUUAAGCCAGGGCCAGUCAUUCACUUGCAUUUCCCUGCCCCAGUCUCUGUUCGUUAAGAUCAAAGUGAAUUUCUAGCUCCCACAGCUGCAAAGGAAUUUCUGAAAAGGUGAAAUGUGUUGCCUGAAAGCAAAGAAACUAGAAAGAAAAGGGAACCUUUAACAAUGAUUCUGAAUAGACAUUAUUUGCGAUUGUUUGAUAUUUGCAACUGGGGCCAGCCAUGCUUGAGAGCCAUUUUGUGAUAUGGAAUGUUUCUGAGUUAUGACCUCGUGUUGCAGGUUUUACAACAAAAAGAGAUGUCUCAGGGCUGAAACCUCAGGUUAAACUCACUGCUUAGUGGGUGAGGGAUUUUGCAUUUGGUAACAUGAAUGUACUGUGUGCUUAAACACAAGGGUACUAUGCUGGUGGGCAGCGGGUAGGAGAUGCUGGUAUCGAUUACAGUAUCAAGAGAGUCUGCUAGGCCUGCCAGCACUGUACUUCAGGCUGUCUUCUAAAAAGUCUGCUAUUGGAGUGCUUUGGAGAUGCACAGCUGCAAGCAGCAGGGGGAAACACUGCAGAUCGUGCUGAAAGGCACAGGUCAGUAUCUGCUGCCUGCCGACUCAAAUGAAGAAAUGUGGCUUGAAGUUUUCACUUCCUUCCAAAAGCAGCACAAAAAAUAGCUGAUUUCGUAAUUUAAAGUAGGUUCUGGGACACUCUUACAGCAUCUCCAUCAACACCUACCUCUGAAACCCCAAACCCACACAGUUUGAAUGAUAUGAGUUGGUCUUGACUCCUACAGCCUACCAGAUGCUGGGUCCUUUU